rnacentral:rRNA from 1 species
AUUCGCUAGUAAUCGCGCAUCAGCCAUGGCGCGGUGAAUACGUUCCCGGGCCUUGUACACACCGCCCGUCAAGCCAUGGGAGCCGGGGGCGCCUGAAGUCCGGGACCGCGAGGACCGGCCUAGGGCGAAACUGGUAACUGGGGCUAAGUCGUAACAAGGUAGC